rnacentral:rRNA from 1 species
AACGAACGCUGGCGGCAGGCUUAGCACAUGCAAGUCGAACGGGUGUAGCAAUACAUCAGUGGCAGACGGGUGGGUAACACGUGGGAACCUUCCUAGGGGUACGGAACAACUCAGGGAAACUUGAGCUAAUACCGUAUACGUCCGUGAGGAGAAAGAUUUAUCGCCCUUAGACGGGCCCGCGUCGGAUUAGGUAGUUGGUGGGGUAACGGCCUACCAAGCCUACGAUCCGUAGCUGAUCUUAGAGGAUGAUCAGCCACACUGGGACUGAGACACGGCCCAGACUCCGACGGGAGGCAGCAGUGGGGAAUCUUGGACAAUGGGCGCAAGCCUGAUCCAGCCAUGCCGCGUGAGUGAAGAAGGCCUUAGGGUUGUAAAGCUCUUUUACCAGGGACGAUAAUGACGGUACCUGGAGAAUAAGCCCCGGCAAACUUCGUGCCAGCAGCCGCCGUAACAC